rnacentral:lncRNA from 10 species
GUCAGACUCCCGAGUAGCUGGGACUACAGGCGCCCGCCAUGAUGCCCGGCUAAUUUUUUGUAUUUUUAGCAGAGACGGGGUUUCACCCUGUUAGCCAGGAUGGUCUCAUCUCCUGACCUCGUGAUCCGCCCGCCUAGGCCUCCCAAAGUGCUGGGAUUACAGGCGUGAGCCACCGCGCCCGGCCUAAUAAAGGACAAUUUUUAAUAGCCACUGGACUAUUUAAGUGAUCUCUUCUGUCAGUUUCUUUUACCAUCAGAGGACACAGCAGCAAGGUGCCAUCCUAGAAGCAGAGAGCAGACCCUUACCAGACAACCAACCAGCUGGUGCCAUGAUCUUGGACUUCUCGGCCUCCAGAACUGCACUUAAACACGCAGCAUGAGGAAAAUGGAACAACAAUCUUGAGGUGCCUUCUGAAUCAUCAGAUUAAAUUAUGCUUCGGUCUUGCACUGCUGCCUAGGCUAGAGUGCAGUGGUGCAAUCAGGGCUCACUGCAGCCUCACUCAACUUCCCAGUCUCAAGCCAUCCUCCUACCUCAGCCUCUGUUCCACUAAUCUACUUGUCAAUUUUUCCAGCAACACCACACCCUCCUGAUCACCAUAGCUUUAUGUUUCUUACAGCAACAACAAGAAACAAAUUUAUUAGCUAACCUAACCACUAAUGACGCAAGAGACAAUUCUAAGGACUUUCAAAACAGCAAAGUAGGAGCAGCUGCUACCUCUAGGGAUGAGGGAUGCAAUUGUCCAAUUAUUGGUGAAAUUGUCAUUUCAUGCUAUUGGCUAUUUGAAAUUCCUCCUCUAAUUUCAGAAUAAAUCACUGAAAUUGACAUCGGCCAGUCUGAAUUUCAAGAAAUUACCUGCUGAAGACAAGAGGGAUCUCUUCUUCAGAUUUGCAGUCUGGGGAAGACACAGCCUCUACUGUACUUUAGAACCUGAGAUAUGGUGGUGGAGGGAGCCCUGGGUCGAGUGGUCAGAGCUCCGGACUCCAGCCCCAUGCAACUUCAAAAUAUGACAAAUGUCUUGAAGGGGAGAUUGGCAUGCAGAUGAGGAAGGCCCUCUCGCCAACACAUUUGUAUUUCCUCUGUACUGUGAGACUGUGGGAGAUUUACUGCGACAUUUAGAAGCUUUCUUCCAAACUCCUGGGCCUCCGACACUGGUUCUAAACUCAGCAAAUGUUCUUUGGGAAAAACAGACAGUGCAUGUGAGGCCCCUCGAGUUUGGAAUUUAUGUCUCCAGCUUCACAUGGUCUCUCAAGUGCUUAUGCUUUUCUUCUCUCUGCCACCCACAUUCCCACAUCCCGCCCACCCCCCAACUUUCCUCCCUUCACCUUCCCAUGGAGACUUUUUGCCUGGGCUAAAUCUGAUCCUCAGCCCACUCUCAGAAUCGAUAAAUGCCCCUAGGUGAUUGUAAGCUCACCUAAGAUAUACUUUUUCUCCUCUAGAAUUUUAGUUUAUUAGAUUUUUCUAGUUGUCUUUGCAAAAGCGUUAACAGGCUCUGACUUCUGACAUUCAACUAGAUGUGGAAUAUCCAACCCCUAGCAUUUCAUGGAAUGUACUGACCAAGAUAAAAUGUGUUCUUAUUAAACAAUGCCAUUUCUUGACCACUUCUGUUUUUAGGAAUUGUGGUAUCUGAGUCAUGGUGAUUAGAAGUACUAAUGAAAUAAAUGGGAAAAUUAAACUUCUACUAACAUUUCAUAUAGUAGGGAGAUGUCUGUGAAGAAUUAUAACUGGUACAGAUUUUGUGUUUAUAAACAAGGAGACAGAAAAUGCAGAAAAUAAAAAAUAUUUUAUUUAGUUUUAAAGUGGUCAGAGUACUUUGUUUCUAAUCUCAUAACAUUAACUAGCAACAGAUUGAACUUUUAAGCAAAUUCCUCUGACCUAGUAGCUACUAGGAUUACCUACUGCAUGUAGAAACCAUUCUUAACUUGAGGGCCACAUAAAAAGAGGCCAUUGUCAGUAAUUUGCCAACCCUUGAUCCAGACCAUGUAUUGCUCUACCUCUAAACCAUAGUUGCUUCAUUUGCUUAAGUCUUUUCACAUAAUAAAACCCUUAUUAUAAGGAGGUGGUGCUGUUACCAGGACAACCAGGAACUGGGCCUCUACUAUUGUCAGCUGAAUUCUCUGCUCCGUUGUCAAUUCUCAACUCCAUUUCUGGCUUACCUCAAACAGAGUCACAAGAAAGUAAAUAUUUUGCAAUCUUCUUGUCCUUAGCUGUUCGUUCCUCCAGAAUGACAUAGAGAUUUGUAAAUAUUCACUGGAAUUCAAUGGCUUCAUGCAUUCUAUUUCCACAAACAAAUCCUGAUACAUUUCUCUCCUUCAAUAUAAAGUACUCAUUUUCUGAUCCGUAUUAGCCAGCAUCUUGCACUCCAAAUAACCAGUAACAAAAAGAUCCAUGGGUUGAGGUGAGAUUAUUGCUUUAGAUAGAGAAGUAUCUGACCAUUGUUAAUUACUUUGAAAACAGAUAUGUCAAAAAAGAUAAAACAUACAUUUAUUGUCCCUGACAAUUUACAAACCAAAAUAUACCAUAAUGCAACAAACUAUCUGGGUUGUGGCUUAUCUCCUCAGUUGAAACACUAUUGCCAAUGCUAAACAAUGGAACACAGUAUUUGGCUAUUGGCUAAAGAAAAUGAUGUUCAUACAGCUUAGACAGAAAUUAGUCAUUGAGUCACUAGAGACUAUAAGCAGCAUAUGAAUGCCUGAAACUUACAGAAGAAUCAAUACAGGCUAUUAAACUCUCAUUUCUUAGAAUACCGUAUACUUGCGUGUUUAAACUGACAUCUUAAAAAGUUUUGUAAAGAGCAAUUCAAACUCACAGCAUGAUAAAUAAUCUUUAGGUUUAAUGAGACCUCAAGAACUAGACCAGCUUGAAGCAUGCCAUCUUACCUAGUUACUUAAGAAGCUAGUUUUUCCUUUUGUAACAUGAUCUCAGAAAAAAGAAAAUAUAAUCAUUGUUCUAAGGCAAUCCACAAACUCUGUUACUCCCAUUACAUUUUCAAAACUGCAGACACUCAGGGGGUGUCCGAUUCAUGCCUGGGGCCAUGUGAAACACCCACCUCUGUGAGUAGCUUUAUUAACUCUAUAAACACUUCAAGACAUUCCUAGCAGUGUGGGGUAGCACACAUAUCUAUUGUCUAUCUUAGGUUUGGAAUCAUUUUUCCUCUUAAAAAUAACACACUGAACCAAUUAGCUUUUCUAAAUCAAAUUAACCUAAUAGCAUUCAAAAACUGACAAACAUAAUCUGCUUGUUCUAAGACAAAAGUGGAUUAGUGAACAGAAUCAUAUCUCUAGUCAGGUCCAAAUCAAGUUAUAAAUUCUAACCAAACAGUGAUUGCUGGAAUAAGUCAUAUUAUUAGUAUGCAUAGUCAUACUGAUCUCAAAUGUAAGCAACAUAGGCCUUUUCAGCAGGGAGAUAUAAAAGUUUAGAGUUGAAGAAUGUCUUUUCAUGUUGUGGUAGAGAGCUUGUUUCCUUUGACGUACAUGGCUCCCUCAAGCCUUAGGCUAUUUAGUUACAUCCCUUGUAGUCACAGGAAGGAAUAGCACUCCUCAUUUUUCUAUACCAUCUUUUAGGCAUGUUAUUGUUUAAUACUUUUUUUUUUGUUGCCUGCCUGCUGCUUGUUAGUAUAUGCACCAAAGCAAAUGAGGUAAGACUUCAAUGCAUCAAAUGCUUUUCCUUAAAACAACAUUUUUAUUGAAAUAUGAAACAAAUAUUUUUAUUACCUUCUUUAUAGAAGUAUUUUUUAAAGAAUAGUGAUUGAUAAUAUUGACAGAAAGGAGGACCUAUGAAUUAUCUAUAAAUUAUCUUUAUAUUUGAACUAUUCACAAAUGCAGAAAAUUUAAAAAUCAAAUACAUUUUUCACUUGCUAAUAUAUCUUUUCAUGAGACAUUAUCCUAUAAAAUCCACAGAGGGAUGUGUCCAUUUCUAUUCUCUGCCAACCCUUUUGGUACCACCCAUUGGACAUAACAUUUAGAAUUAAAUUAAGGUUAUCACUAUUGUUAAGCAAAUACUAUUAGAGGUUAGACUGGCAGGUCUUCAGAAAUAGCUCACACUGGAGCCAUGCAUCUCAGUACUCACACUCCUGUGUAGCCUCCUUUCCUUGAAUCUGAGAAUCUGAGAUGGUCCUGUAACUUGUUUUUAACCAGAAGAACAUGGUAGAAGUGAUACUGCCUGACUUCUGAGAUAAAAUUGUAAGAUUCCUUGCAGAUUUUCACCUAGGUCCCUUGGAAUGAGUACCCUGGAAAAAGCCAGCAGACACCACGCUGUGAGCAAAUGCCCAACCUAGCCAAGCAGUGGAGCAACAUGGGGAAAACGGAGAUACGUGGACAUUCUCCAGCUAUUUCAGUCAACCCAGCCAAGGAGAAGACAUGUGAGUGUAGAUGCUAUUGUAUAUGUCUAGGCCAGUAAAGCCUUUAGCAAGCUGGAGCCCCAGCAGCUAUUUGAAUUCAAUGAGAGACCCCAAGUGAGAGCCACCAUAUUGACCCAAUCAACACACCGAAGUGUGAGAGAGAAUAAUUAAGUGCUAGCCUAAGCCACUGAAUUUUGAGGGUGGUUUGUUACACAGCAAUCAACCAAAGCAAAGAUAUUGGUUACUUGUUUGGGGGUUUCAUUUUUAAUUAUAACAUUCCAUGGCUUCUAAACAAAUUUUGCACUUAUAAUUUUAUCAAUUUACUGAUAAUCCUGCUGUCCUUGUUUUGUAUCUACAAUGCUUAGAUUAGAAAAUCUAAUGGAGAAGUGUGUGUGUUUGUGUGUGUGUGUGUGUGUGUGUGUGUGUGUAUUUCACUCUUUUAUAUAAUGGAUUUUGAGGAACAACUAGAUUGGCUUUCUAAGAGAGGGGGAAAUGCUUCUGAAUAUUUUAAGUAAAAUUUUGAUCUACAACAACUCUGCUGUAAAUGUUUAAUAUAAUAUUAUUUUGAGACUUUGCAUGAGCUAAAAACAUCUAAAGCUAAUAAAGCCAGGCUUUUAAAGAGAAAAAGAGUAAUUAUAGGUUGCCUGUAAGAAACUCACUUACUUUACUUUUUUAUUUAUCUAUUUUUUAACUUAUCAUUUUAGAUACUCUCUGAAUUUUAAUUGUAGUGUUUAGAUGUUGAUCUGUCUUUACAUGUCAAACAUUUAAAUUAACUCUUUUGCCUGAAAGAAGAAAUACCAAGAUACAUAAAUUGAAUAAAAGGAGUGGUCUUGAGCACCAUAAAAAUACAAUGUUUGGGCCGGGCAUGGUGGCUCAUGCCUGUAAUCCCAGCACUUUGGGAGGCCGCAGCUGGUGGAUCACGAGGCCAGGAGAUUGAGACCAUCAUGACUAACACAAUGAAACCCCAUCUCUACUAAAAAUACAAAAGCAAAUUAGCCAGGCGUGGUGGCAUGCACCUGUAGUCUCAGCUACUCGGGAGGCUGAGGCAGGAGAAUUGCUUGAACCCAGCAGGUGAAGGUUGCAGUGAGCUGAGAUCACACCACUGCACUCCAGCCUGGGUGACAGAGAGAGACUCCGUCUCAAAGAAAAACAAAACGAUGUUUCAAAAUCUACACAGAAAAGAAAAAGAGGGGAGAAGAAAACUAAAAAGAGACUCUAAGAAAAAUAUUGAAGAAGAAGAUGGUUGGUGAAGGGGAUAUUGCUCUAGUACUAGUAUUUCUUUAGGCAGCUGUUUAAUGUUGCCUCUGAAUAAGUACAUAUUUUAAGGCAGUUAACAAUCUGGUUUAUGAAAAAAUGGGAAAUCACUGUGUGUUAGUGAGCCAGACAGAUGUGUAUAGUGUGGAUAGGGUUCUCUCUUUAAAAUGCACAGAACUGGAAUUUAGCGUUAACCUCAUAAGCACUUGAUGUUCAUGUGGGUGCUCACCAGGCAAUAUGCUCCAGCUAUUGAACAGAAUGCAUUCACUUGCUGUAUACUGAGUGGUCCCCUAGUAAGCUGGAAAAAGUUGUACUUAUGUCAUGUUUAAUUUAUAUAGUGUAGACAUCAUGAAUAAUUAAAUUUAAUAACUACUCAAUGUCAGUGUUUAUAUAUGGCUAGUAGCCAAUAUUUUUUGGUUCUUCAAGAAGAAAGGUACAUGUCUUAGGAAAACUUGAUACAGGAAAAUAUCAGUAUUCUCACUUCAGAGUCAUUCCUUUGGGGAAAAAAAAAGGCUACAAAUUUCCUAACUACGUGUUAAGCAUUGGUGCAGGCAUUGAUAAAGUUUGGAUGUUUGUCCCCCACAAAUGUCAUAUUGAAAUGUAAUCCCCAAUGAAGACGGGGCCUGGUAGGAGGUGUUGGCAUCCUGGGGUCAGAUCUCUCAUGAAUGGCUUGGUGUUGUCCUUGGGAUAGUGAGUAAGUUCUUGCGAGAUCUAGUUGUUUAAGAGUCUGGCACCUCCUCCCUCUCUCUCUUGCUCCCUCGCUCUCACCAUGUGACAUGCUUGCUCUCCCUUCACCUUCUGCUAUGAUUGGAAGCUUACUGAGGCCCUCACUAUGAGCAGAUGCUGGAACAAUGCUUAUACAGCCUGCAGAACUGUGAGCCAAUUAAACUUCUUUUCACAUUACCCAGCCUCGGGUAUUUCUUUAUAGCAAUGCAAGAGUUGGCUAACAUGGGCAUAGAGGGCAUAUAGCAGCUACAUUUGCCUGAGGUGUAUAGCAAAGGUGGUGUCAGGAAAGGUUAGCAUUGAGCUUUGUUCUUUAAAGUGAGUAAGUUACCAGGAUGGUAAAGGAGUAUCGAUGCAAAGUAAGGAGUGGAGAAAUACAUUUUAAGUGGAGGGAAUUAUUUAAAACAGGGCCCGAAUGUCUUCCUCGGGUGUUGCCAUAUAUUGUAUCUGAACAUCUUAUAUAGUAUUUAUUAUUUGAUGAUGUAAAAUCAGUUUCUUAUUGUUUCCUUCUUUCUCUAGAUUGCAAGCUUAGGGGGCAGCAAUAAUACGUCACUUAUGUUUGAGUCCUAAUUCCUCAUACAGUCUUUGGCAUAAAUAAUAGGCACUCAGUAAUUACUAUAAAUAAAGAAAGAAAAUAGCUGUAGUAAAAAUGGAUAACAUUUGUUGUAACAGUUUCAUUUAGAUAUUUAUGAGAGUGUUAGAGCUCCCUGUUAUAUUGUAAGAUUUUUUAGGGAAGGGAUCUUGCAUAAGUUUUAUCCUUUAAAUGGUGCCUGACUCAUAGUUAGAACCCUAUGGAAAGCAAAUUAUAGUCCUUUACAUUUCUUUAAUCAGCCAGGGCCUAAUUUAACCCUAUACGUUUAUAUAAAGGGCAGAAAUUAUUACAAUAAAUAAUCUUGAAACAGCAGAAUUCUGCAUUACAAAUAUGAGGCUGCCAUAUUUCUGUGUUUCUGGUUGCCUAGAAACAAAAAUGUGAAGUUGUAUGAAACUAUAAGAGUUUGUACUCAUAAGAUAUUCUAUGCAAAGUUCAGCCUGCCUCUCUGGGUUUGGAAAGCAUCAAUUCUGAGGAGCUUCAGACAAUAUUGCGGUCUUCAUAGCUGAAAGUUUGCAAAGUUGGGCUUGUUUCAUGGUAUUACCGGCAUAUCCAAUUAGCUAAAGAAAAUAAUUCUUCAUUUAGAGUAUCCAGAACAGACCAAUAACAAUAUUGUUCAAUAACAACUGCUCUAAAU